rnacentral:rRNA from 1 species
UGAUCCUGGCUCAGGAUGAACGCUAGCGGCAGGCUUAAUACAUGCAAGUUGAACGGCAGCGGGUCCAGCAAUGGAUGCCGGCGAGUAGCGCACGGGUGCGUAACACGUAUGUAACCUACCUAUAACCGGGACAUAACCUCGAGAAAUCGUGGCUAACAUCCCAUAACAUCCCUUGAUCGCAUGUUUAAGGGAUUAAAAUUCCGAUGGUUUUAGAUGGGCAUGCGCGACAUUAGCUAGUUGGUGAGGUAACGGCUCACCAAGGCAACGAUGUCUAGGGGGUCUGAGAGGAUGAUCCCCCACACUGGUACUGAGACACGGACCAGGCUCCUACGGGAGGCAGCAGUAAGGAAUAUUGGGCAAUGGGCGCAAGCCUGACCCAGCCAUGCCGCGUGCAGGAUGACAGCCCUACGGGUUGUAAACUGCUUUUAUACGGGAAAAACCCCCUCGACGUGUCGAGGGCUGAUGGUACCGUAAGAAUAAGCAUCGGCUAACUCCGUGCCAGCAGCCGCGGUAAUACGGAGGAUGCAAGCGUUAUCCGGAUUUACUGGGUUUAAAGGGUGCGCAGGCGGAACGAUCAGUCAGUGGUGAAAUCUCCCGGCUUAACCGGGAAACUGCCAUUGAUACUAUCGUUCUUGAGUCCAGUUGAAGUAGGCGGAAUGUAGCAUGUAGCGGUGAAAUGCUUAGAUAUGCUACAGAACACCGAUAGCGAAGGCAGCUUACUAAACUGAAACUGACGCUCAGGCACGAAAGCGUGGGGAUCAAACAGGAUUAGAUACCCUGGUAGUCCACGCUCUAAACGAUGACCACUCGUUGUUGGCAAUACAUCGUCAGCGACUAAGCGAAAGCAUUAAGUGAUCCACCUGGGGAGUACGAUCGCAAGGUUGAAACUCAAAGGAAUUGACGGGGGCCCGCACAAGCGGAGGAGCAUGUGGUUUAAUUCGAUGAUACGCGAGGAACCUUACCUGGGCUAGAACGCAGAACGACGUUUCGGGAAACCGGAAUUCUCUUCGGAGCGUUUUGCGAGGUGCUGCAUGGUUGUCGUCAGCUCGUGCCGUGAGGUGUCCGGGUUA